UGGGGAAUAUUGGACAAUGGGGGGAACCCUGAUCCAGCCAUGCCGCGUGUGUGAAGAAGGCCUUAUGGUUGUAAAGCACUUUAAGCGAGGAGGAGGGUACUGGUAUUAAUACUACCAGGUACUGGACGUUACUCGCAGAAUAAGCACCGGCUAACUCUGUGCCAGCAGCCGCGGUAAUACAGAGGGUGCGAGCGUUAAUCGGAUUUACUGGGCGUAAAGCGUGCGUAGGCGGCUAAUUGAGUCGGAUGUGAAAUCCCCGAGCUUAAGUUGGGAAUUGCAUUGGAUACUGGUUAGAUAGAGUGUGGGAGAUGAGGGUAGAAUUCCAGGUGUAGCGGUGAAAUGCGUAGAGAUCUGGAGGAAUACCGAUGGCGAAGGCAGCCAUCUGGCAUAACACUGACGCUGAGGUACGAAAGAAUGGGGAGCAAACAGG
rnacentral:rRNA from 1 species